AACAAACUGAAACCUCUUUCCAGGAGAGCCAGAGAGGCUGAAGCUUUUUGCUUCUCUAUGUGGGUUGAGGAUGAAAGAGACGAAUGAGAAGUAAGCACUUUCCAAAUGAAGAGUGGGAGUGGGCCACUGCCCUAAUUGUGGCACGUGUGAGCUGGCUGUGAGAUUGCCCUCCCCAGACCCUGCUUCCAAAGGCUUGGAAAUGAGCAGCACUUGCAGUCACAGUGAUGUGGAUCUUGGUAUCAGACUGAGGAUUAUUCUCAUGUAUUUUUCAAACCUCAAACAUGCUCUUCCCUGUCAGAGAUGUUUGCUUUUUCAUUAGCUUAUACAAAAUACCUUGUGACAGUUAAAACAAACAUCCAUUUAAAGCUUUUAAACAGUACUUUUUCUAUCCUACUAAAUCAUUCAGAAAUUUAAUUACAUUUCAUCACUGGCCCAAAUAUGCAACACUUCUUAUCUAGCUGCUAUAACCCAACAAGAGAGAGCUGAGAUUUUGAAAAGAAGCAGUGAAAAGAAGUCACAUGCAGCUGAAGUAGAUAUGUGUUCUUGGAUGGAAACAGUGUAAUAUUUUUCAUCCUGGUCUUAAGAAGCAAUGGUUCGAGUUUAUUCAGAAUGGAAGAUUCUCUUCUCCAAGCUGCGCAGACAAGAAGACCUUUAGUGUGUGGAGAGAGACUGUGACAUUAACCUGCAAGUGUGCCUAACUUGUGUCUAGGACUAAGAAGGGAGCUUACACAGGGACUUUCUCACUGAAGGUACAGUCACUUUCUGAACAGAAAUUUAAGUGGAAGUAUUAUAAACUCCAGCUGCUUGCAGAUAUCACAGAAAGCUACAGCAAAGUUUAAAGAUCUAUUCAAAGAGAUUCUUGCUGCUCCACCAGAGGAAGAUAAAAAGAAGGAAAAGCACAAUUCAGCUUGAGACAAAAAAUCUUGAAGAUUGUUAUACCUUGAAUUGGAUGGCAUUUACGUACACUUUCUUGGCUAGAAGAAUUCAGAUGGAAAGGAAUGUUUUUAACAUUAUAGAAAGAUUCUGAAGUGCAGCCACAAAGACAGAAGCAGAACGGCAUUUAAGUGACAUGCACUGAGAAGAGAAAAAAGAGCUUCUGCUUAGGGGUGUGUGUGUGCAAAGCCGAAGUUACAUGCCUCCACAGUUCAUGUAUGAAGUUAACAAGGGGUUACUGAAGAACACACUUAAGAUGCUAAAGAGCAUGGGACACCUGUUAUCUAGGAGAUGCGUGUGCCUUCACAAGAGAUAAAUUAAAAUCCUCAAAAACUCUGUAGCUGAAGCAAAGCAAUUGCAUUUAUAUGUCAUUUACCCUGAAAAAAUAUCACAAAUGCUGAUUGUUAUUUGACCUUCAUUGGUCUGUUUGACUAAUCAGUGGGGAAGCAACUGAUUGAAAAGAUAAUGUCACAUGUUGUAGGAAUGGAAAAUCUUUUGUUUCUUCGUUUGUUUACAACAGGGUAUUCCUUUAUGGAUGAGCUUCAGUAAGUUGCAAUUCCAUGUUCAUCUGUGUCUGAGAAGUGUCAGAAGAUUGUCUCUGACUUUUUGAGAGAAUGUGUUGCUUUUUAAGAGACUAGAAAAAUGCAAACAUUCUUCACUGUGGAACGGUGCGUGUGGAUCAUAAUGGAAAUAAAACCUGUUGUUCAGAAGCCUAUGGCUAUCUCAGCACUAAAUUUGAACAGUGUUGAAGGAUUUCUGUGAAUGAUGGUCAAUCCACAGUUCUGCUAUGGAUUUGAUAUGUUUCUUUUACUGAGCUACAACUGUAGAUUACUGAUGACAUUGCAACUGUAAUUUUUAUGAAUGAAUGUACAAAAUAUAGAUAGCAGAAAAUGUAUUAUGGUGUCAUGGUAAGCUGGCUGGCAUGUAAACAAACAAACAACAAAAAAAAAACCAGAAAA